rnacentral:misc_RNA from 1 species
CAAAAGACCAAUACGAAUGAGACGACUGAAGCGAAAUAGAAAAAUAAAAAUUCCAACUACGAAAAUAACAACCGAAUACAAUACGGAGUCGUUCACCGAAUCAAAUGUCUAUCGAGUAACUGACUCCUACAAAAUAAAGCCUACAAUACCAAUACUGCACGAGCCGUCAUGGAGAUCGAUGCUGAAUUAGAGAAACUUGCAAAAACCUACUCUAUUUCAGUUUGUAAAAGAAUUAAAGUAA